rnacentral:rRNA from 1 species
GACGAACGCUGGCGGCGUGCUUAACACAUGCAAGUCGAACGAGUGGCGAACGGGUGAGUAACGCGUAUCAACUGCCCUUCAGAGGGGGACAACAGUUGGAAACGACUGCUAAUAUCGCAUACUGUCGGAUACCACCUAGGGGAUAAGCUAGUAGGUAAGGUAAUGGCUUAACUAGGCUACGAUCCAUAGCUGGUCUGAGAGGAUGAUCAGCCACACGGGGACUGAGACACGGCCCAGACUCCUACGGAGGCAGCAGUGGGGAAUAUUGCACAAUGGACGCAAGCCUGAUGCAGCAAAGCCGCGUGUAUGAAGAAGGCCCUAGGGUUGUAAAGUACUUUCAGUAGGGAAGCGUUACCGACAGAGGAAGCACCGGCUAACUCCGUGCCAGCAGCCGCGGUAAUAC